AAAGCAUAAGAUAGAAAAGAAUCUAAUUUUAUUGACCUUUUGACGACGACGAGAGAGCCUUCAACAUCCUUACGACUCCAUUGGCUGAGGUCGAUGUUGAACUCGUAGAAGGUGACAUGAGCGGCCGUGAUGAGGAUCUCCUCAAUGAAUGGAUCGAUUCGCUGAAGAACUGUCAGGUUCAGGAGUUUUGUGCUCUGCUGGUCCAGAUUAAGCAUCAAUUUUCCGUUAUGCGACAUUUUUCAUAGUCGUUUUGGGCUCUGCCCCGAGCACAAGCCCCAGGGUUUUUCUGUGAGCUCUCUCUUUUGUAAAUAAAGUGUUUGAUGAGAUAGCCGAGAGAGAGUGAAAGUGUUGAACAGCCAAACACGGUCUCGAGAUUGAUCUUCCUUUAACUUCUUUUAAACAUUUGGGAAAUAGCAUUUAUUUCUUUUAGUUUCUCUACUUUUUUUUUCCUUUAUGUCAUUUAGACCCCAAAAUUAGAUUUAUUAUAAUCCUAUUUUACCCAUACACUAUUAACCCCUUUUAUUUUUAAAAUUUGUCAAUAUUAAUGUGUUAGAAUAAUGUUAAAAAUCUCAAUUAUUAUCUCAAUGUUUCAAUCAUAACUAAUGUGAUGACUCAUUGGUAACUGCAACAUUAACUUAAUUAUUAAUGUAACACAAUAAAAGUUUGCCACUUCGGCAUUGGUCGGAGUGGUGGGAUGCUUGUGAGGGCAGCGGUUCAAGCCCCCACAAAAGCAUUUGUGGGGGCUAACGUUGUGGGGGCUAACGUGCUUAUUUGUUUAAUAUUUCAAAAAUUUCCUCUCCCUCGUGCAAUACGAGUGGAGUAUGGACAUCCCUCUUCUGUAAGGGAUUAUUUGUCUGGGCAUGUACUUCACAGAAUUCAAUGUAAUAAUAUAAGUCCCAAUCAUGUAUUUCUGAUUGUAAAUAUCAGUGUAAUAUAUCUGCUGUUGAUGCGAGAUUCUGGUUCUCCUCGUUCUACGACCAGGAUCUCUGCUCGAUCAACUUUACCACGACCAGGAGGUCUCCUAGUAAUGCUUCUUCUCCAGAUGUCCCUGCACACACAGACAAGUCAGAGUACGCCGGUUGUUCUCCCGGCGCAAACCCUCCGACGCUCAAGUCAGAUAUGAAGGUUCGGGGAACGCUUGCCACAGGUCUUAUGGCUUUUUCGUGGUUUUCUCUUUUAUCUUAAAAAUGCUAACCCUUUUACCUUCGUUGGCUACCUUUUUAUAGGCUUCUCCGAAUCCCCGUUUUCCGCUUUUUGCCAGACGGUAUGGGACUCUGACUGCUGCGUCAUGGGCGAAGGUGGGAUCUUGCGUGUUACGCCACGGUUCUGGGGAAAGCGUGGCUGUCGUGCCUAGAUUCUCGGGCUGGAGAGCAUGUCUUGCCAACUGCCGUCGACCGGGUCUCCUCGCUUCUCGACCUCUAGCCGGAAUGAUCUUAUGCCUCUUACAGGAAAUUGACCUCGCGGAUGACGUGCUCGUGGACGAGCAGGAUAUUUCUGCUCCUGUUCCCCCGCGCAUCAGGCUUUUACGGAACACACCGGCUCGAGGAACUCUGCCCCCAGAUAUCUGCUCACCAUGCCUGGUCUCGUCGACGUAUUUCUCCUAAACACCGGUCCCCCAGUUUCUGGUGUUGGGUAAUGUAGUGGACCAGCAGUAGAAACUCGAUAGUACUCGCUCACGUGGGACUGGAAAAGGCUGCCAAGAGUCGUGUCGCAUUUAAUUGCGGACGGGGUGACGUGGCGAAAAUCCCCCCCUCCAUUUGAAUUUCAAACCGACGGUUAUGAGGCCCUCGGGAUUCGGCGCUGUUAAAUGCUGGCAACCCAAGAGUCCGUCCCCAUUAGAAAAACCAAAUCCUCUCGAACGGCAUAUUCAUCAUCCACUACGUCUCCGUCUCUGUCUCUCCGGCAAAGAAGUUCCGGCAUAAAAGUCCUCCAUCUCUGAUUUUCACCGACUGAACCAUUACUUCAGGUAUUUCUUCUAUCUCCUUGGCCUCGGAUAGUUGUAGAUAAUUUCUCUUUUCUUCUGUUUGGGUAGUAGUUGGUGGUGUUGUGGUUAGAGCUUAGGGAAUGUCGAAAGGCAAAGAGAAGGUCAUUGAGGUUGACGACGACGAGUUGGACUUCCUGCCUAGUCUGCUCACCGACCCUGCUUUUGACCCCGGGAUUCCCUUAGAGCCCACUAGGUCUAGUGUCGGGACUAGUGCUAGGAGGAUGUCUCCCCAAACAACCUCUACGAGCGGAAGUAGUGGUGAGGAGAGAUCUUCUGACUCUGAGGAUACGUUGAGUGAGAAUGGCGAAGGUGAUUCUGGUGAGGUGUCUCCAUCUAGAACAUCACGACCAGGAGAACGGGGUACAGUAGGAGGCAGAGCCUUGUCGCGCGAUUAUGCCAUUGAUUACAUGACGUGCACGACCUCGUUUGACGAGCUCAAGGACCUCCGGCUUAGGUAUAGCAUUCCUGGUGAGAUACCUCUCAAGGUCCCAGGAAAGAAGGAUGCUCCCAGCCGGCCUCCUAGGGGAUACGUUACCCUGUUUUUAGAGAGCUUUAAGUACGGGCUGAGGUGUCCCUUGCAACCCUACUUUGCCCGGAUACUUAACGGGCUAAACCUAUCUCCUGGUCAGCUGAAUCCCAAUGGGUGGAGAGUGCUCUCUGGUCUGUUCAUAUUGUGGGACAGAUGUUGCCAGAGCGAGCCCACGGUUGAUGAGGUGAGACACCUGUACCAGCUAAAGAGCAGCCCCAAAGAUGCCGGCUGGUACUACUUCCAAUCUAGCACCAAGAGCAGGAAACCUAUAACCGACCUCCCCACUGGUGGUGGUGGGAAUUGGAAGAGAAAGUUCUUUUUUGCUGGGGGUCCUUGGGGUCAGGUUGCACAAAUGAACGGGAAGGAUUAUCGGGUCCCACCCCGUUUCACGGUCCCAGGUUGCCUGCUUGCUUUUAGAUGUCUUGUAUCCAUAAGUGUUCUUGCUUUAUUGGCUUGUCUCUAACCAAGUGUCUGUUUGUGUUGUAGUUUCUUGGGGUGUUCACUUCCCGCUCCCACCCGACCAGCUCAAACGGGUCGAGGAUGUGCUCGCCAAUUCCUGCUCGAGCCGGGAACUGUUAACUACGUACAACUUGCUCGAGUCUCGCUUGAUACUUCCUGGCCAUAGGAUGGAGGACGCUGUGAUUGGGGCUCUGACCCGAAAACGUUCUCGACCCCCAACCACGAAGAGGGACCAGAGUAAGGAUGCCCCUGUGGCAAAGCGGGCCAACAUCGUGCAGCAGGUCCCACCCUUGAAGAUUUUACCUCCUGCUCCCGUAAAAAUUGGGGAAGCUGGUGGAGCUGCCACAGAUCCUGCUUCCUCUCCUCCUCCUGUCGGGCCCCGAUCUCACUUACCUGACAGCCGAGCAGAACAUCUGGUCCUCUACUUCAAUGAGUUAACUAAACUCGUGAGCAGGAAGGAUCUGGAGGACUUUGACGGCCGCACCUUGGGUGAGUUGGUGGGGGCCAUGCAGCAUAGCGCUUUCCACCUCAGCUGCAUGACCACCUAUUACAAGGCUAAGGUUGGCCGCUAUGACCGGAAGAUGAAGGAGGAUAUUCAAUCGGCGACGACCAGAGCUGACGUUGCCGAGAAGAAAGCAGGGGAGCUGAAUCUCGAGAAUCUGAAGCUGAUGGAGCAAGAAUCACUUGCUCAAGCAAAAGCCAUCGCCCUCGAGGAGGAGCUUAUCAAGGUCAGGGAGGAUCUGCAAAGGCAGAAGACAAUGUAUGAGGCUCAGCUCGAAUCUCUUCGCGACUCCCACCGAGCUCAGGCCGAGAACUUGGAGAGGGAGGCCGACAACCAGUACGACCAGGGACUUCGGUAUUCCUAUCGUUGCAUCAUGGCCGUCCUCGGGAAGCAACACCCUGAUCUGAAGAUGGGUGACCUUGCGGCUGGUGUUGCUCAACAUAUGGACGAGGAGGCGGCCAAGGAGGAUGCCAAAGGGGUAGAGCCGAUCGUGAUAGAGGAGGAAAACUCUCCUCCUCAUGUAGUCCCUGCUGAUGUUGGCGAGGCGAGCACCCACCCCAAUGCCUCUAGUGAUACCCCUCCUGCACCUGAGGAGGUCCAGCCAACCGAUGCCGCUGGGCUCACUGAUCCACCAUCUUCUUGAUAUAUUUCUUGUAUUGUAAUGACAAUGUUUAUGAAGAUUAUUCCCUCUGUUAAUUAUUAACAAAUUAAUAAAAAUGUUUUUGAUCACCUUCUUGUGUCGUAAUUACGAAUUAAUUUUCGUUUGAGAAUCUGCUUGUCUUUGUCUAAACGAGCAGGUUCCGGCUUGGCUCAUGGUUUUGCCACAUGCCUUUGAAGAUUUUUCAAUGCUUGGGAUUCGGUUUGCCUUCGCGCAGUUGAGCAGAUCCUGGCACGCUUGGCUUCUGUCUCGCCAUAAGAUAGGCUUUGAGACUUGACGAGCCUUUGCAUGCCUUGGAUUCUUCAAAGCUCAGGAUUCUGCUGCCUUCUCGUGGCCGAGCAGAUCCUGGCAUGCUUGGCUUCUGUCUCGCCAUAAGACAGGCUUUGAGACUUGACGAGCCUUUGCAUGCCUUGGAUUCUUCAAGGGUUGGGAUUCUGCUGCCUUCUCGUGGCCGAGCAGAUCCUGGCAUGCUUGGCUUCGGUCUCGCCAUAAGACAGGCUUUGAGACUUGACGAGCCUUUGCAUGCCUUGGAUUCUUCAAGGGUUGGGAUUCUGCUGCCUUCUCGUGGCCGAGCAGAUCCUGGCACGCUUGGCUUCUGUCUCGCCAUAAGACAGGCUUUGAGACUUGAUGAGUCUUUGCAUGCCUUGGAUUCUUCAAGGGUUGGGAUUCUGCUGCCUUCUCGUGGCCGAGCAGAUCCUGGCAUGCUUGGCUUCUGUCUCGCCAUAAGACAUGCUUUGAGACUUGACGAGCCUUUGCAUGCCUUGGAUAAUUUCUUGGUUUCAAGCGUAAAAUUGCUUCAUUAAUGGCAGGAUUCGACUUACAUAAAAUUGUUUGGGACAUAAAGCGUAAAAGAUAAACGAUAAUGAGCAUGAGCAGAAAUAGCUCUCAAAUGUGAACAAAUCUUACUGGAAGUAUUUUCGGAGGUGUGCUGCGUUCCAUGGGCGUUUCACCUCGUGGCCGUCCGCGCGAACCAGCCUGUAAGCUCCGGGUCCCGCUAUCUGCUUGACUCUAUAUGGCCCUUCCCAAUUCGGUCCCAGCACUCCUUGAGUCGAAUCUUUGGUGCUCUGAUUCACUCUUCUCAGUACCCAGUCUCCGACCCUGAAUUGCCGUAUGUUCACCUUCUGGUUAUAAUACCGAGCAACCCUCUGUUGGUAAGUGACUGAUCGCUCGGCUGCUUGCUCCCUCCUUUCCGUCAGCAGAUCAAGAUUCAAACAUAUCUGCUCGUCGUUCUCCUGCUCAUUGAAAUGAUCUGUCCGGUGUGUGGUCGUUCCUAUCUCAGCCGGCACGACCGCUUCGUGUCCGAAAGCCAAAGCGAACGGUGUCUCCCCCGUUGCGGUUUUGUGGGUUGUUCUGUAUGCCCAUAGCACACCUGACAGCUCGUCAACCCACGCACCCUUUUUUGCACCAAGCCUGGUUUUCAAAAGCCUCUUGAUGGUCUUGUUGGCUGCUUCUACUUGUCCAUUCGAUUGAGGGUGAGCAGGCGAGCAAUACUUCAGCUCUAUCCCGAGGUUCUGGCAGAAAUCCCUGAAGCUGUGAUUAUCGAACUGCCUGCCAUUAUCCGUUACCAAGGCAUAAGGGAUCCCGUAUCGACAGACCAGGUUUCUCCACACGAAGUCUGUUGUUUUCUUCUCCGUGAUCCUGCUAAGGGCUUCCACCUCUAUCCACUUCGUGAAGUAAUCUAUAGCAACUAUUGCAUGUGUUGCUGCUCCUCGUCCUUUUGGCAAUGGGCCGAUCAGAUCAAUUCCCCAUUGAGCAAACGGCCAAGGGGAGGCCAUAGAGGUGAGCUUCUCUGGUGAUUGGUUGGAGAAAUUUACAAAACUCUGGCAGCUUGCACAACCCCUGGUCUUCUUUUGCGCAUCCUGGUGCAUUGUCGGCCAGAAAUAUCCCUGCCUUAGGACCUUGUGGGCCAGGGACCUCCCGCCAGAAUGAUUUCCGCAAAUUCCUUCAUGUACUUCUCUCAGCACGUAAUCCGCGUCGUCGUCAUCCAAACACCGAAGGAACGGUAAUGUGUAUCCUCGCCGAUACAGUACCCCAUCGAUCAUCGUGUAUCUCGAGGCCUGAGCUCUAAUCUUCCGAGCUCGCAGCUUAUCUGGUGGUAAUACCCCGUCUCUAAGGUAUGAAACUAUCGGGUCCCUCCACGAGCAUUUUUGUUCUAUCCGCAACACCCCCAAAUUCUGCUCGAUACUUGGGCUGGACUUCACUUCUAGAGGGACGGACUUUGGCAUUUUUGGGUCGGCUACUGCUGCCAUCCUAGCCAAAAUGUCUGCUCGACUAUUCUGCUCCCUGGGGAUUUGUAUCACCUCCACUGCUUCGAACUUCCCCAUCAUCUGCCUGACUAUCUUCAGGUACUGUUCCAUCUUCUCCUCUCUUGGUUGGAAUCUUUCACUGACAUGAUUCGCAACCAGCUGGGAAUCAGUUCUGAUCUUAACUCUGUCUGCUUUCACGGCCCUAGCCAAUUCCAGGCCUGCUAUCAAGGCUUCGUACUCUGCCUGGUUAUUUGUGACUGCAAAUUCCAACUUUACAGCAUAAGAGAUCUCCUCCCCCUCUGGGCCUUCCAGGACAAUCCCUGCUCCUGAACCCCGCUCCCCUGAUGACCCAUCUACAGACAUCUGCCAUACUUGAGUUUCGUCAUUGCCUAUAACUGCAUCUUGUUGACCUAAGCAUGUUUCGGGCUCUGUGAAUUCAGCUACGAAAUCGGCCAUUGCCUGGGCCUUUAUCGCUGCGCGGGGUUUAUAGUCUAUGUCGAACUCGCUCAGCUCUACAGCCCACUUGACGAGCCGCCCAGAGGCAUCUGGCUUGUGCAGAGUCUGACGCAAUGGCUGGUCUGUUAUUACCGAGAUCGGGAAGGCUUGAAAAUAUGGCCUCAACUUCCGAGCAGCAACCACAAGGGCAAGUGCCCAUUUCUCCAACGGUGGGUACCUGGUCUCAGCGUCGAGCAGGGCCUUGCUGGUGUAGUAUAUCGGAUACUGAACUCCUUCUUCCUCUCUCACCAGAACAGAACUGGCGGCCCGAUCCGAUACCGCCAAAUACAGAUACAACUUGUCCCCAUUCCUCGGUGUGGACAGCAGCGGAGCUUGCUGCAAGUAUUGCUUCAAGUUCCGGAAGGCUUCCUCGCAUUCUGGGGUCCAUUCUGUUUUCUUUCCCCUCCUUAUCACUUGAAAGAAUGGCUGACACUUAUCUGUAGCUUUGGAUAUGAAUCUGCUCAACGCCGCCAACCUCCCCGUGAGGCCCUGCGUCUCCUUCAGGUUACGAGGAGACGUCAUUUGCACAAUCGCCUGGAUUUUCUCGGGAUUUGCUUCAAUCCCCCUAUGGCUCACCAUGAAUCCCAGGAAUUUCCCUGACUCGACCCCAAAAGCACACUUCUCCGGAUUGAGCUUCAUCUUAUACUUCCUCAAAAGCUCGAAUGUCUCCUCGAGGUGUCUGACAUGUUCCUUCGGGAUCUUGGACUUGGUGAUCAUGUCAUCCACGUACACCUCCAUGGUUUUCCCGAUCAACGGCUUAAAGACUUUGUUCACCAGCCUUUGAUAGGUGGCCCCAGCAUUCUUGAGACCGAAUGGCAUCACCCUGUAACAGAACAAACCUUGGUUAGUGAUGAAAGCCGUGCUCUCCUCAUCCUGCUCGUACAUGGGGAUCUGGUUGUAUCCCGAGAAUGCGUCCAUGAAGCUAAGCAGACCAUGUCCAGCUGUUGAAUCUACUAGCUGAUCGAUCCUUGGUAAAGGGAAGCUGUCUUUUGGGCACGCCUUGUUGAGGUCUGUGAAAUCCACACACAUCCUCCACUUGCCGUUUGCCUUCUUUACCAACACCACAUUUGAUAUCCACUCUGGGUAACUGACUUCCCGAAUGAACCCUGCUCUCAGGAGCUUCUCCACCUCGUCAUUUACAGCCUCAUACCUCUCCUGGUUGAAGCACCUCCUCUUCUGCCUUACUGCCCGAGCACCUUUCUUUAUUGCCAGCUUAUGACACGCUACCUCAGGGUCAAUCCCUGGCAUGUCUUCAUGUGUCCAGGCAAACACAUCAGCAUGAGCCUGUAAGCAUUUCACCAACUCCUGCUUUUGCUCUCCCUUCAGUCUCGACCCGAUUCUGAUCGUCUUUCCCGGGUUCUCUGGUCCCAUGCUUACCGUUUCCAGAUCCUCUACAGGUUCUUGUCUGCCAGUCUUGUUUUCUACUCGGGUAUCGAAGGAUGUUAUCUGCAUUGCCUCCCUUGCUGCCGAGGAGUAGCAGCUUCUUGCGAUCCUCUGGUCUCCUCGUACCACUCCUACUACCCCAUUCACCCGGUACUUCAGAGCCAGAUAAUGGUUGGACAAUACCGCUUUGCUCAUCCUUAAAAACGGCCGACCUAGGAUCAUCUGGUAAGGACCUUCCUCAUCCACUACGACAAAGUCCAGUAUCAUUGUUCUUUCUGUUAGGGGGCUCCCAAUUGUGAUAGGUAGUUCGACCACGCCCAGGGGAACCAGCUUCCCUCCUCCGAACCCCUUCAAGGAGGUGUUGGUGUAUUCCAACUUCCGGUCGGCUAUUCCCAUCUCUUCCAGGGUUGACUUAAAUAACACAUCAACUGAGCUCCCUGUAUCAACCAGUAUCCGGUCAAACUUCUUGCUAGCGACCGUAGCCUUGAUGACUAAGGCAUCCUCGUGGGGGUAUAGGAUCCCUUCCUCAUCCUCAUCCGUCCACAUGAUUGGCACUUGCCUGACCCUUGCCCGUUUGGCUGCUGGGGUGUUGAGGAGUACCUCUUUACUGGUCAUGGCGUACCUAGCAUAAUUUUUUCUCGAUCUGUUUGAAUCUCCGGCCAACGUUGGGCCCCCCGCUAUCACCCUUACUGCGGGCUGCUCGUGCCUCAAGAUUCUAUCACUCUGCUCCCCUUCAUCUGUUGUGGCCACCAUCGGGAAAGUCCCAUCCAUAAACUCGUCCAGGUACCGAUUUCUCACCAAAUCUUCGACUUGGGUCUUGAGAUCUCUACACUCUGCUGUGGUAUGGCCAUGGGUGCCAUGGAACUUACAAUAACGUCCUCUAUCCCUCCUGUUGGGUAGCUUUGUUAUUGAUGUAGGGAGGUGCAGCAGCCCUCGAUCCUUUAUAGCCUCGUACACCUCAUCCAGGGACAUCUUCAAGGGAGUGUACCGCCCAUAGUCCUGGUGCUGGUCGAUCCGAUGUACUGCUCUUUCUCUGUUUGUCCCGCUCUGAGUUGGGGGCGGUAGAAGUACUUCUGGUCUGCUCGUCCUGCUACCGUGGGAAUGUUGAUGAAGACCACCAGAUGCCGGAUCAUUUCUUGUCCAAGGUUCCCUAGCUGGGGAACGAGGAGGUUGCGCCCUGCUGCGCUGAUACUGUGGUGGCCUCUGAUGAGGCUGGUAAGCAGUGACCCUGCCUCCUGCUCCACUACCGGAGGCCUGGUGGUCCCUCCUCCUGAUCGGCCCGUUCCCUGGUAAUGCUUUCAUCUCUCUCCUCCCCAACCCUUCUAUCUGGUCUGUCUUGAUCCGUGCAGCCUUCUCCUCUUCAAUCUCGAUGUCUCUUUUAGCCUGUUCGUAUGCGGCCGCAUACGUUUGAAUAGCUGGGCUUCUCAAAUUGUACCACAGCCUUCCUAUCUUCACCCCUUCUUUCAAUCCCCUUAACGCCUGAGGGUGGUUGAAGGCUCCCAAGUCGAGGACAGCCCGAUGAAACCUCUUGAUGAAUUCCGGAAGGGUUUCUUGCUCCCCCUGUUUCAUGCUUUUUAGCUCCAUCAUGUCAUCUUCCGGUGACAUUGCCCUACUGAACUGCUCCGCGAAUUCCUGGCACAUCUGCUCGAAGGUUUUAAUGCUGCCCCGAGGAAGUUUCAUGUACCAUUCUCGUGCACGUCCCUCAAGGGAUAGUGGGAACACCCUGCACCUUUGGGAUUGAGAUAAUCCUUGUACCCCAGUUAUGUCGUUGAAGCGCUCUAUGUGCAUCAGCGGGUCAGUUCUUCCCGUGUAUCUGAAGUCGGGGAGGCGGAAAUCUCUCGGAAUAACUGCCCUCAUGAUCUCUGCUGCGAGCGGUGAUUCUCCGUCCAGCAUUAUCCUCCAACCAGGGGCUCUGUUCCUCCCUUGCAUAUCGUCAAUUAUCUGCGCUAGUCUGCGCACUUCCUCCUCCAGCUGCCCUGCACGACCAGGGUCACGUGCUGCAACUUGAUCCCGCUCUUGCUCUACAUCUUGCAAGUGUUGCCUCAACUCGGUUUCCUCUGCAUUCACCACCCCGUCGUCCGCGUCACAAGUCUGUCUUGCCGGGGACCGCUCUCUUUCUCUAUGAAAUUCUCCCCGUAGAGGUGCGUUACCUCUCUCACCACCAAAUCUCCCUGUGGUUUGACUUCUCCCCGCACUAUCGGGACCUGGUGCCACUCCACCGCCUCUCACCCUUCCCUCUUGAGUUACCCUUCGCUCGCUCCGUAGCUCAUGCAGGAUGGUUGUCAAGGUCUCCAUCUGCUUUUCCAUCCGUUCCAUCCGGUCGAACAUGACUUUUCCCGUGCUUCACUGACUAUCUCCCUCAGCGUCACGAAAUCGUUAAGCCUCAUAUCACCCCCUUGUGCACUACUUCCUCCUGUCUCCAUUGCUUUUUGCUUACUCCACCCCUCUUCUUGCUAUCAACAGAAGCUUUUUGCUCUGGGUCCCCACAGACGGCGCCAAAAUGUUGAUGCGAGAUUCCGGUUCUCCUCGUUCUACGACCAGGAUCUCUGCUCGAUCAACUUUACCACGACCAGGAGGUCUCCUAGUAAUGCUUCUUCUCCAGAUGUCCCUGCACACACAGACAAGUCAGAGUACGCCGGUUGUUCUCCCGGCGUAAACCCUCCGACGCUCAAGUCAGAUAUGAAGGUUCGGGGAACGCUUGCCACAGGUCUUAUGGCUUUUUCGUGGUUUUCUCUUUUAUCUUAAAAAUGCUAACCCUUUUACCUUCGUUGGCUACCUUUUUAUAGGCUUCUCCGAAUCCCCGUUUUCCGCUUUUUGCCAGACGGUAUGGGACUCUGACUGCUGCGUCAUGGGCGAAGGUGGGAUCUUGCGUGUUACGCCACGGUUCUGGGGAAAGCGUGGCUGUCGUGCCUAGAUUCUCGGGCUGGAGAGCAUGUCUUGCCAACUGCCGUCGACCGGGUCUCCUCGCUUCUCGACCUCUAGCCGGAAUGAUCUUAUGCCUCUUACAGGAAAUUGACCUCGCGGAUGACGUGCUCGUGGACGAGCAUGAUAUUUCUGCUCCUGUUCCCCCGCGCAUCAGGCUUUUACGGAACACACCGGCUCGAGGAACUCUGCCCCCAGAUAUCUGCUCACCAUGCCUGGUCUCGUCGACGUAUUUCUCCUAAACAUCUGCUAUAAUAGCAGUUGUAAAUAUAUGUGUAAUGCAGUAAUAUGAUGAUUAAUCAGUAUUCAAAACACAAUAAAAGUUUCGUACAGAUUUUGAUAUUGAGAGUAACACAAUAAAAGUUUCAUACAGAUUUUGCAAACGAAAAGCACAUAAUACACUUAACUAGGAGGAAAAAUUAAGGUGUAUUUAUUACAAAUUGCUAACAAUAUACAAUUGUAAAAAUCACUCUUAUGAACUCACAAAUACUAGGCAGCAAUAAGAGUAUGAUACAACCAUUCUAAAUGAAAGAGAAUACAACUGUUUUACAACUAUGUCACAUCAAGAGAUAUGUUAGCAGGAUUAAUCCAGAUACCUUCGAACCCAAUUAACGAACUCGAGUCAGAAACCAGGGGCCCCUAACUAAACCUUACAAUCUUGAAGGAAGAAGGAGACUCGUGGUCCAGAUAGGUGACUUACUAGAUCUCCUGCAAAAGAGAAUAUCUAUUGCUUUGAACCUCCAUUGAAAUUUUUUUUUCCCUUUUUCUUGUUUUGACUUGGAACUUUCCAACAUCAUCUAUUUGAUCUUUUUUUAAGGUAAAAUAGCAAUCUAUAGGUUGCCAACAUGUUAUUCUGCCAAACCCCACCCCACCCCCCCGGGGGACAACAAAUCGACCUAGCACACACCUUUCUUCAUUGCCCACACCUACAGAACUAUAAUAAAAAGACUACGUUACUAUUGGGGUAGAGAAAAUAUACAGACUGUAUUAUUAUUACAUCGCAUUUUACUAAUUAACUAGUGCAAGACUUCUUUAGUGUCAAAUCAAGAACUAAUUAGAAAAGACAACUCAUGAUAAUACAGACCUUAAUAAGCAAUUGCUAACAACAUCCCAUAUACUCCUAUUUUAGCCUUCAUUAUCCUGGUAAAAACACAAAUAAGUCUUGCAAACGAACAUUUAUAAGUAAAUUCAACAUUAAUUAAGAUUAGGUAUCUACUGCACCUAAUAGCAUGGUCAACCAUCUAGUUCCUGUAGCCUUCCAUGUACCUAUGUUAGUUACAUUUUACAUAUUAAGCCACGAAAACGAAGAAUCACAGCCUGGUAAAGAAAGACAUUAAUUAAUAGUUUUUGUUUAAAAAGUUCUCCUUUAGAUCUUUCCUAUUCAAUGAAUCAAUGUAAUCUAAAGAGAACUCUUCCAUUUCAAACAGUGUUAGAAGGUAUUUGCAAAGCCUAAAGAUAAUAUACAAGGACCAAGAUAUACACAGAUGGUUUCUUUAUGGAAUUAAAGAGCUUUAUAGAUGUUAAAACUGUUUCAAACAAUUUUUCUUGUUUGGUUUAACUAAGGAAAAGCUUGUGGAAGAUUAAAAAUGAUGUUUCCUAUUCUCUGUAGGAAACUUUUAGGAGAUUUUUUGGGCUUUUUUGAAAGGUUGAAUUGUCAAAAAUACCUUGAUGUUAUUGUUUGCUAAAAGAUGUUACGGACAUCUAAACAACCAACAACAUUUUGUUAAAAGCUCUACUAGUGUAGGAUCUACUUAAAGAAGCUAUACCAAACAGACUCUUAGACUGAAUAACUCGAUCUUAAGUUUGUAAAAUUGGGCUCAGAAUCUCCACUAACAACCCCGCUUCGGUGAGAAAGCCCAAGCCUGUUACUUUGUAUAACCUUAUUCUGUAUGUUUGAUUGCAGGAACUGGCCGAUCAUACCGACGAGGUGAGUGUGCAACAUGAGGUGCUUGACGGGAUGUUUACUUUCUAUGAUUCAACUAAAGCUAGCCUCAACAUAUAUCAGGUGCCUGCUUGUUUUUACCUUCUAGAUACUAAUAUUGUUUAGACGUGUAAUCUCUCUCUCCAUUGAACGCUAGACGGCUCGUCUCAAGCCUUCUACGUACUUCAGAGUCCUUCACUAGCUUUUUAUGUAUAAAGUUUUGAUCUUUUUCCUUCAUUUGCUUGAAGCUCAUUACUGCAGAUUUUUUUUACAGGUUGGUAGUGUAACAUUCGACUUGCUGUUGCUUCUAGUCUUGGGAUCGUAUUUAAUUGUGCUUUUCAGCUUUCUUGUCAUAACAACUAGGGUAUCACUCUUUCUCCAUAUCAAGCUUGAAGUUCUAAAUUUCAGUUUUAUCUUGUAUUUGAUGUUUUAUAAUUUCAUUGCAAACAGAUUAGAAUAGAAACUUCAAAAGUUCCAACUGACUAGUCCCGUGUAACUUUUUCAGGGAAGAUUUUCUCUCAUAACAACUACGAACGUGUUAUGGUUUAGCCCAGUGACACAAAGGACAGUUUUCAACAAUUGAUCCUAGGAAGAUGCCCAUAGCUUGUUGUGCCAAAAAUAGAAAAUCUAAGAUGCGAAAAAAUUUUGUUGAGAUUCAUUUUUCAUCCUGAUGUUACCGCUGGCCUUUUUUUUUUUUUUUUUUGGCAGAGAAUAAUGCUUAUGUGAUUUCUGAACUUGGUGAUUGUUGAAAUGAGCUGAAAAUGAGCUGGAAAUGUGUUUGGUUAAUGAGAAAGAGAGCAAGAAAAUGAAAGAAAUCUAUUUCACUUUUUAUUUAUCAGCAUGAUUACAUUCACAAUGAAUCUAAGCUGCUAUUUAUACUUAAAUGACUACACACGAGAAUCUUCUUGCUAGAUACUUCUAGAAACUCUACACGCACACUCACACUGAGCUAGUGGUUACCAAAACCGUUACAACGAUAUUGCCAGCUCAGCAUAACCAACUUAUAACUAACACACUCAGCUGCAGGGGAAACCAUCAAGCUUACUGUGCGUCCUCUGUAAUCAAGCUUCUUUAAGCAUGCUCUGCAGAUCAUACGUCUGAAUUAUCGAAACAAGAUGAAUUAUUUUUUGUUUAUUGCAGCAGGCGAUCAAUGAGCGGAAUUUCUAGCUUGUAUUCAAUUCGCGAACACAGUUUGAGAAGAAUCAGACCAUUAAUUUUCUUUUGAGCCAAUCAACAGAAUGUACAUUUCUUCUAAGAACUUGUAACCGAAACCGCAGUUUUUCAGGUUUGCUCCUUCCUCAUAGCAGUUAAUCAAACGAUAAACAGAGAUAUCCCAUGUCAACAAGAAGGUAAUCAUAAAAGAACAACAGAAUUGUUGCAACAUAUUCAUAUGAAAUGUAAAACAAUUUUGAGAAAAAAUAUUGGGAAGAUAUUUUUUUUUCAUAGAAGUUGCAAUCUUUACGUUAUUUACUAGUUUGACUAGACUAUAUAAGGAAGCUAUAUGAAAUUAGAAAAAUAAGCUAUACUAGGAAAGAAUAAAUAUGUGUACAGAAAAUUAGGCUAUAAUUUUCAAAUUAGAUGCCAGUUAAUUUUAUCAUAAUUAGAUGGUAAGAUUGCAAAUUCUGCAGCCAAAGGUGGUACGGAACUGAAUGAAGGAAAUCAAAUAUGAACAUGUUUUCAAUCUUAAAAUAUUAAGAGUAGCAUAAGUAACUUGUGAAACAGUUAUAAGUUCAAGGGAAUUAGAUGAUGGCAUGGUUGAAUUUUAUAAAUAUUUGAUAUUUUGGACCGAACAGGGCAAACAGAUGGAUCCAGAUAAUCAAGAAAAACAUCAAUUCCAUGCAACCAAAUGAGUCUAGUCAAAGAAAUUAUUCAAAGAAAUCUCUAGGUCAGUAUCCAAAUAUAUGGCUCCGUCCGUUCCACCACCACAACCAAAAAAAUCAGAUCCCCCCAUUUGGAUUCGAUUGAUUAAUUUGAGCAUAUAAAAUCGGGUUUUAAACUUCCCUAAUCAAAAUUUAUAUUCCACAGAAUCAGUUCCUUUAACAUGAUGCAUUACAUAAUAUUUUGUUUGCAAAAUAAAGAAGAAAGAUGACAUAAUAGAAACACGCUAUUGCAUCUUUUGAAAAAGAAAAACGGAAUAGUUUUCCAAAAUUAAUUCCGAGAAGAAGAUUAACUAAUAAUGAUGUUAGAAAUUUUAAUAUUUGAGUCUUAAUAUUAUGUAUCACUCAUUUAUUAAAUAAUAGAUUUCAUAAUUUGUAAAAUUACUUAACCACUUGAUAAAUGUUAUAUUUGUUGGGACUAAAUUGGAACUUAAAUGUUGGAAUAUCUAGUAUUGCAUUAAAAAAUAAAUAAAAACUUAACAAUUUAUCUUCACUUGACUAAUUGUUUUUACAUCACAACUAACCUUAAUUAUUUUGAAAGUUACAGUAUUAUUAAAUUGUCCUAACUGGUUAUCCAAAGUUGAAGCAUGUUAAAAUAAAAAAAAUUACUAAGAAACAUGUGCUUAAACAGAGGUUAAAGCUAUGAACAAUUAAGAAGAAACUCUUAAUUUGGUCCCAGUUAGUAUAAUAAUCAUCUAUUGAGCGGUAAAAUAUUAAUUUUAAUAGUGAUGAAAUCCAAUAAAUAAUAGAUUACUAACACACAUAAAUUAAAACUUAACUGUCUGAAAUCAUAACAUUACUCUACUCUUCAGUGGAGUUCUCUUAAACAGAUUAUGUGAGAUUGCCUACAUUAAAAAUAUGUUAAGACUGCUUGUUGAAAGCAAUAUUCGCUUUUCCAUUAUAUCCAUAACUUUGAAUUGAUAAAGUUGUAUUCAGCAGCUCUUGAAAAGACUAAUUUAUUUUAACUAGUCAUAGAAAUAAGAGAGAAAAGGGGCUAUUUCUUGACUCAAAGUCAAUUAUAAUUAUCAAAACUUGAGGGGACAUCGCAUGCCUAAAUUCCACGCACCCUAAUACGGUUUGAUUUGCUUUCACGCGUUCAUGAAUUUCCAUGAAAGAGCCUGCCUUUCGUCUCUUUCGGGACAGUGACUACAAUAAUGGAAAAAAUUAUAAUUCUCGUUAGAUUGUAACCAAAUUAUUAUCCCUAAUUUUUUUAAGUUACAUAUAAUAAAAUUCAUGCUUAAGUAUUUAGUAAUUAGAGAGAGAUAGAGAGGAUUGAGGGCCAAUGUUUCGCGAUUUGGGGUCAAUUCAAAGUCAACUAACGUGUAAAACACGUGUAUGCAUAGAAAACGCUUAGAUUAUUUGUGUUCCAAGAAAGAAAGAAGACCCAUCACCUUCUUCGUGACAACAAAUGAAUGAAUGAUGUUGAUAUGACAAAUACAAGCGCUAUUACAGGGAACAGCAUAAGAUCGAGACUUGAUAAAGGGUUUGUUAAAUUACAUGUUAUUUUCUUUUGACUUGAAUGAUGUUGAAGAGAAAAAUCAAAUAACAUUGUAAUCAGGGUGAUGUGUGGAAUAUAGUGAAAUAAAUAAAUAGAGAAGAGAAAUUCGUUGAUCAAUAUUCAAGAACUCAUCCAAAGUGAUCGUCAAAGUCUAGAGGUUCGGUAUGAUUAGCAUUUAUUAUUAUUUUUUUUGGCUUAACAUCAUAUAUAGUCACCUGUCGUGUGAUCUAGAACAGGUUUAGAAAUCCUUUUAUUUUAACUUCCGUAUUCUUAUUAUUUAAUUAGUUAUAGGGUUCUUCAGUAUUUGAGUAUUGAUCACAUGUCUCCUAAUCUAAAAAUAUGUUUUUACGAGUACAAAUAACAAACUAGGAUUUUAACAGCCUUUUAUACUAAACCCUAAAAAUACAUGAAUUUAUCAAAAUAAGUAAAUUAAUUUAAAUUGGUAUGGCAUAAUAAAAGUUUUACCUGCCGAAACAAAUUAAAAAAAUAUUACACUUAAAUCAAAUAUUGACAAAAAUAGAUAACAAUCUAAUGAGAAUCUUAACUAGAUAUUUUUACUUCUAUCCAAUUUAACUGGAACGAGAAUUAAGUCCUUUCAAUAGUUAGGACUCAUAACUCAUACACGCUAGUUUGAGAGUGUGGGGUGUGACAAUGGGCCAAAAGACCAUUGACAAGUACAAAAGAGUGGUCGCAAUUAAUUCAAACCGCUACACACGCUAUUGCGUCUUUUAAAAAAAAAAUGGAAUAGUUUUCCAAAAUUAAUUCAGAGAAGAAGAUUUACUAAUAAUGAUGUUAGAAAUCUUAAUAUUUGAAUCUUAAUAUUAUGUAUCACUCAUUUAUUAAAUAAUAGAUUUCAUAGUUUGUAAAUUUACUUAACCACUUGAUAAGUGUUAUAUUUGUUGGGACUAAAUUGGGACUUAGAUGUUGGAAUAUCAAGUAUUGCAUAAAAAUAAAAAAUAAAAACUUAACAAUUUAUCUUCACAUGACUAAUUGUUUUUACAUCACAACUAACCUUAGUUAUUUUUUAAAGUUAUAGUAUUAUUAAAUUGCCCUAACUGGUUAUCAAAAGAUGAAAGCAUGUUAAAAUAAGAAAUUACUAAGAAACAUGUGCUUAAACAGAGGUUAAGGCUACGAACAAUUAAGAAGAAACAACUUACAAUCAAAGGUUAAGAUUAUGAACAAAUUAAGGAAGGUAUUGAGCAGAUAAAGGGACGAAAUCAUUGUCUGAAUUGCCGGUGACAAGAAUGCUUGUGUUGUGAAAAGAAACCUGAUGGUUUGUAAAUGGGUUGAAUUUUUUAUUCGGUCGCUCCAACUGACUUACUAAUGCCAAAUUUAUUACUUUGCACAGUAGUGUUUAGGAUCCUCAAGAUCAACUCUUAAUUUGGUCCCAAUUAGUGUAGAAAUCAUCUAUUGAGCAAUAGAAUAAGAAUUUUUCUAGUCAUGAAAUUCAAUAUAUAAUAUAUCCUUGACACACAUCGAUUAUAACUUAACUGUUAGAAUUCAUAACAUUACUCUACUCUCAAGGGGAGUUCUCUUAACAUAUUAUGUUAGGUUGCCUACAUUCAAAAUAUGUUAGGCUGCUCUUUGAAAACAAUAUUCCUUUUUCCGUAACUUUGAAUUGAUCCAAUAGCUCUUGAAAAGCACAUAAUAAUCAUUAUAAAUUUAAUCAAAGACUAAGCAGGUCUUCUUUCCAUUUGAUCACUCGCAUUUCAGUUAAGUUUGUCGUUUACUUAAAUUUUUCUUGCUUUCAAUUUCCACUGUUGUUUUUUUUUAUAUAAAAUAAUUUAUUUAAACUAGUCAUAGAAAUAAGAGAGAAAGGGCGCCAUUUCUUGACUCAAAGUGAAUUAUAAUUAUCAAAACUUGAGCGGACAUUGCAUGCCUAAAUUCCACGCACGCUAAAACGGUUUGAUUUGCUUUCACGCGUUCAUGAUUUUCCAUGAAAGAGAGUGCCUCUCGUCUCUUUCCGGACAGUGACUGCAAUUAUGUUAACGUGACGAAUACAAAACGUUAUUACAUACAAGAAUAAGUUUUUGGACCCGAGACUUGAGGGAGGUUCUAUCUAAUUCUAAAGAUUGUAACCAAAUCAUUAUCCCCAAAUUUUUUCAGUUAAAUAAAAUAAAAUUUAUGCUUAAGUAUAAAUAAUUUUUUAAAGUUAAAUAUAAAAUAAAAAAAUUCAUGAACUUCCUAGAAAGAAAGAAGACCCUUCACCUUCUUCGCGACAACAAAUGAUGUUGACAUGACAAAUACAAGCUCUAUUACAGGGAACAGCAUAAGACCGAGACUUGAUAAAUAUUAAAUAUAUAAAAUAAGUGGAGCAAACGAACAGAAUAAUAGAUAUUUUAUAAUAUUCUUCAUAAAAAUCCAUGUUUUGAGCCUGCCUAUAAGCUUAUCUAGUGAAGUCUGGGUAUCCGCGUUGCCCAAGGUUCCGUUUGAAUCCAGGCCGUGUAGAUGUUUAAGACAUCGCAUAUGGACGGAGUGGAAAUAUUUUCAGUUGACUGAAUUAAAUAAAAAUAUAUUACAAUCAUAUUAUAUAUUAGCAGCAAAAAUAAAAAGAAAUGAAGAAAAACGCAUGCAAGACUUAGACAAGUCAAUUAAAAGCUGGGAGUAUCAUCAGUUCAAUUGGUUAUAAAUAGCGUAGAGCCAUCCUCUCGUUGUUGCAGAACUGAAGCAAAGAGACUCAGAAAGAGUGUGUGUAGGUGAUUAUAAUUAAGAAGAUAUAAUGUGUGGUUCAAAAAGAGUGUGGGUGAGUGAGUUAAUUUUCAUAUUAUUAGUAGUAAAAGGGUGGUGGAGUGAGGGAUGUUUGGAGCAAGAGAGGUCUGCUCUCCUACAACUCAGACAUUUCUUCAAUGAUGAUCAACUUCUUCAAAACUGGGUAGACGAUGAGAAUUAUUCAGAUUGUUGUCAGUGGGAAGGGGUUGAGUGCAAUAACACCACUGGCAGAGUGAUUGAAUUAUAUCUAGGAUAUACUCGGAAAUGGGAAUCAGCAGAGUGGCAUAUGAAUGCUUCUCUGUUUACUCCCUUUCAACAAUUAGAGUCUCUUGAUUUAAGUUGGAACAAUAUAGCCGGUUGUGUUGAAAAUGAAGGUCCUUAAUUUACUUUAUUUUAAUUCUUCCUCCUCGUAAUUUCUUACAUCUAUCUGAUCCCUUUUGGCUUUUGUUUAAUUUGUACGUGAUACAAUAAAAUUACUUUUUAUUUUUUGUCAGGUCUAGAUAGGUUAUCAAGGUUGAAGUUUCUUUAUUUAGACUAUAACUGCUUCAACAACAGCAUCGUUUCAUCUCUAGGUGGUCUUUCAUCACUCAGAAACUUAUCAUUGGCUGGUAAUGAAUUGGAUGGAAGUAUUGAUAUUAAAAGUAAGUACGCUUCAACCCUUCUCCCCUGUCCCAUCUUUUGUAGAUCUUAUUUCACUGAGCAGCUGGAAGUAUUGAUACGAGAUCUAGCUAGACUCUUGUGAGUUUAGGCUUCAAGGCUUUGAAUAUUAUAAAAAUAAGUUAAAGAAAUUAUCGAUAUAUGCAAUUUUCAAUGCUUCUCAUAAUCAGACACAAUUCAAUCUAAUUAUUUCGUAUGUCCUGUCUUCAAAAGUAAAGAAUUGUACACUAAUUGGAAAUCGACAUCGUAGCUUUUUAUUUUCUAUAAUGCUCUUUUUUCGUUAACGAGUUUAUAUCCUAAGAGGGAUUGGAUUGAAAAAAAAAAAGUUUUGAUGUUCAAUGUAAGCCAUGAUAACCUGCAUCUUAUUUGUCUGCCGACAUCCAAAUUUGUGCACUGAAUUUAGUAUUUUGGUUAUUGUGAAGGGAUCAGAUAUUGGCUUCCAUAGACCAACUUGUAUUUACUUAAUUAAUUAAUUAACGACAUUUAGUAUUUAACAAAUUAAAAUUUCAUGUUUAAUCGAUUUUAAUUUUUUUAAGAAAAAAGAAAAAGAUAUAACAGCAUGUAAAGCUGAAAUAAAUUUUAAUUCCUUACAAAUUUAAAUUCAUGGUUGUCAGCUAAAUAUACCUGCUUAAAGCCACUCUUUUCGCUGAGAUUUAACCAAAAAAAAAAGGAGAAAAUAAUUUAUUUAAUUAACUCUGUUUUAAGUGUUGGAAUAAAUACAGGACUGGAAUCCUUGAGUAACUUGGAGAUGCUGGACAUGAGGGACAAUGCAAUCGACAAUCUAGUGGUUCCUAAAGGUAUACAAAAUGACACUAACCCAAAAUAAUUUAAUCCGAAAUUGUAUCCCAAAUAGAUUACAGAGGUUUGAGGAAGUUGGAUACCCUUUAUUUGGGGGGGAAGGGAAAUUGCAGUGAUAUAUGGAAGCAAGGUGUUGCAAUCAAUAAAGAAAUUCAUAGGGUCAAUAUUAAAGGACUCUCCUCCAACUCAAACAUUUCUCAAAUAGAUUAUUUAAUCUGAAAUAGUAUCUCAAAUAGAUUAUAGAGGUUUGAGGAAGUUGAAUACCUUUUAUUUGGGGGGGAAGGGAAAUUGCAGUGAUAUAUGGAAGCAAGGUGUUGCAAUCAAUAAAGAAAUUCGUUGGUCAAUAUUCAAGACUCAUCCAAAGUGAUCGUUAAAGUCUAGAGGUCUGCUCUCCUCCAACUCAAACAUUUCUUCAAUGAUGAGAAUUAUUCAGAUUAUGGUCAGUGGGAAGCGGUUGAGUGCAACAACACCACUGGCAGAGUGAUUAAAUUAGAUCUAGGAGCCACUAGGAAUCGGGAAUCAUCAGAGUGGCAUAUGAAUGCUUCUUUGUUUACUCCCUUUCAACAAUUAGAGUCUCUUCAUCUAAUUGGGAACAAUAUAGCCGAUUGUGUUAAAAAUGAAGGUCCUUAAUUUACUCUAUUUUAGUUCUUCCUCGUAAUUUCUUACAUUUAUCUGAUCCCUUUUGGCUUUUGUUUAAUUUGUACGUGAUACAAUAAAAUUAUUUUUUAUUUUUUGGCAGGUCUAGAGAGGCUAUCAAGGUUGACCAACUUGAAGUUUCUUCAUUUAGACUAUAACUGCUUCAACAACAGCAUCUUUUCAUCUCUGGUUGGUCUUUCAUCACUCAAACGCUUAUCAUUGGCUAGUAAUGAAUUGAAUGGAAGUAUUGAUAUUGAAGGUGAGUAAGCUUCAUCCCUUCUCCCGUGUCCCAUCUUUUGUGGAUCUUAUCUCAUUGACGGGUUGGAAGUAUUGAUACGAGAUCUAGCUAGACUCUUGCUAGUUUAGGCUUCAAGGCUUUGAAUAUUAUAAAAAUAGGAUUAAGAAAAUAUCAAUAAAUGCAAAUUUCAAUGCUUCUCGUAAUCAGACACAAUUAAAUCUAAUUAUUUUGUAUGUCCUGUCUUCAAAAGAAAAGAAUUGUACACUAAAUGGAAAUCGACAUUAUUGUUUGCUUUUGAUUAGUGGAUCAAAAAUCGACUAAUUUUGAUUUAACAUAAAAAUAAAAAAGAGAAAAUAAGUUAUUUAAUUAACCCUGUUUUAAGUGUUGGCAUAAAUGCAGGACUGAAUUCCUUGAGUAACUUGGAGGAGCUGGACAUGAGCGACAAUGCAAUCGACAAUCUUGUGGUUCCUAAAGGUAUACAAAAUGUUCAAAUAUUAAUAAUUUGGAGGACAGUUUAAUUGAUUUGAUUAGGGAAUGCCCAAUGACACUUACCCAAAAUAAUUUAAUCUGUAAUUGUAUCCAAAACAGAUUUCAGAGGUUUGAGGAAGUUGAAUACCCUUCGUAUAGGGGGAAGCAGAAUUCGAAUGAUAGAUGGAAGCAAGGUGUUGCAAUCAAUAGGAUCACUACCGUCCCUCAAAACACUUGACCUUUGGUAUACUAAUUUUACGGGAACAGUAGUUAAUCAAGGUAAGUAAAUCUUUUAUGUCGAAAAUAAUUGAAUUAAUAUAUAUAGCUAAAAUUUAUUGUUUCUACUUCUUUCUAAAUAGAGUUGCACAAUUUCACCAACUUGGAAGAAUUGAUAUUGCUCGGGUCUCAUCUCCACGUAAGCCAGCUUCUGCAAAGCAUCGCAUCAUUCACUUCGUUAAAGAAUUUGUCAAUGCCAGUUUGUACCCUUACAGGUGCCGUACAUGGUCAAGGUAAAUUACGGGUAUCUGAAGCUUUUAUGAUAUUAAUUCGAUAAUAAUUCUUUCUUUUCAAGUUAAUUUUCUCCCGUAAAAUAAUAUUUUUUUCUUUUAAAUUUUAUAUAUUUUCACCGUCCAAUAGAAGAGUAAAGAAAAAUAAGUAAAUUAACCCAAAAAAAAGAAAAGAACAAGACCGGAUUAUCCUUAUUCCCUUGCAUUAUGCGAUCAAUAUCAAAAUUAUAACCAUUUCUUGUUUAUUGCUUGUAGAUUUUCGUAAAUUCAAGAAUUUGGAACAUCUGGACAUGGGUGGGGUGCAAGUUGAUGUCAACACCAGUUUUCUUCAAAUUGUCGGCGAAUCAAUGCCUUCUCUUAAGUUUUUAUCACUGGCAGAUUCAAGUCUUAAUAAAAACACCAUUCUUGAUCAAGGUUAAUUAAUGAUUCUCAUUCUCCCUCUCUCGCAUCAUAACUAAAUUUAAUGGAGAAUAUCUAUAAUGCGAGCUAUUUAUAAACUUAAUGAAAGAUGAUAAGGAGCCAUAAUAAUGACAAAAAUAAUUGUAAAAUAGUGCACUGUUGUAGUGUUGAUUGAAAAAUAAUGCUAAUGUUUUACCUAACAACACUAUAACGUCGGAUAAUUUUUAAUAUGUACUUUAAACUAUCAGUACUCAAACUAUCAGUACUCAAACUUAAUUUUUAAUAUGUACUUUAAAGAUUUUAUGCAAUUAUUUAAGUUUUAUGCAAUUAUAUUUUUCAGGACUUUGUCGGUUAGUGCAUCUGCAAGAGUUAUACAUCAGCAGUAAUGAUUUGAGAGGUAGCUUGCCAUGGUGCUUGGCAAAUUUGACUUCCCUUCGAGUAUUAGAUGUCUCUUACAAUCAACUAACUGAAAACAUCUCCUCAUCUCCCCUCAUGCAUCUAACAUCUAUCGAAGAGCUCAUACUUUCAAAUAAUCACUUCUUCCAAAUCCCUAUUUCACUUGAACCACUUUUCAAUCUCUCAAAACUCAAGACUUUCGAUGGUGAAAUAUGCGCAGAAACUGAGUCACAUUAUAAUUCUUUGACCCCAAAAUUCCAACUGACUUCUAUCUCACUGUCUGGUUACAUAGAUGGUGGCACAUUUCCCAAAUUCUUGUACCAUCAGCAUGACUUGAAGAAUGCUGAUCUCUCACACCUUAACUUGAGUGGAGAAUUUCCAAAUUGGUUGCUAGAAAACAAUACAAACUUAGAGACGCUUCUUCUUGCCAACAACUCUCUUUUUGGAUCAUUUCGGAUGCCAAUUCAUUCCCACCAGAAUUUAGCAACAUUGGAUGUCUCUAAAAAUUUCUUUCAAGGCCAUAUUUCGGUGGAAAUCGGAACAUAUCUGCCAGGUUUAAUGGAUUUAAACUUAUCUAGAAAUGCUUUCAACGGUAGCAUUCCCUCUUCAUUUGCUGAUAUGAAAAUGUUGGAAAGGUUGGACAUAUCCUACAAUCAGUUGACUGGUGAAAUCCCAGAGCGCAUGGCCACAGGUUGCUUCUCAUUAGAAAUUCUUGCAUUGUCAAACAACAGUUUGCAAGGUCAUAUAUUCUCUAAAAAAUUUAGCUUGACAAAUUUGACGACGUUGCAGUUGGAUGGUAAUAAAUUCGCUGGAGAGAUCCCAGAAAGCUUAUCUAAGUGCUAUUUGUUAGAAGGAUUAUAUCUGAGUGAUAAUCAUCUCACUGGUGAGAUUCCAAGAUGGUUGGGUAAUUUGUCAGCUUUGGAAGAUAUUAUAAUGCCCAAUAACAAUCUUGGAGGGCCAAUUCCAAUCGAGUUUUGUCAGCUUGAUUCUCUGAAGAUUUUAGACCUUUCAAACAAUAGUAUUUUCGGAACCUUACCAUCUUGCCUUAGUCCAGGAUCUAUUGAACAACUUCAUUUGUCAAAAAACAAGAUAGAAGGACGAUUGGAAAGUAUAAUCCAUGACAGCCCUUAUUUGGUGACAUUAGAUCUUAGUUAUAACAGCUUACACGGAAGUAUUCCAAAUCGGAUUGACAGACUACCUAAGUUAAACUACCUUCUUUUGGCUAAUAAUUAUAUUGAAGGCGAAAUACCAGUUCAAUUAUGCCAUUUGAAGGAAGUGCGGUUGAUUGAUCUUUCUCAUAAUAAUCUAUCUGGUCAUAUUCCUCCUUGCUUGGUUAACACUUCACUCAGUGAAGGUCAUCAUGAGGCAGUAGCUCCAACUCCAAGUGGAUCUUCGAUGGGAAAGGAAGAAACUGUACAGUUCACAACAAAGAAUAUGUCCUACUAUUAUCAAGGAAGAAUUUUGACGAGUAUGUCUGGGAUUGAUCUUUCUUGUAACAAACUGACAGGUGAGAUUCCUACUCAAAUUGGAUAUCUUACUAGGAUUCAUGCACUAAAUCUAUCUCAUAACAAUUUGACGGGCACAAUCCCGACAACAUUUUCAAACCUGAAGCAAAUCGAAAGCUUGGACCUCUCCUACAACCUACUGCAUGGGAAAAUCCCUUCUCAGCUCACCGUGCUAACUACAUUGGCGGUCUUCACAGUAGCAUACAAUAACUUAUCAGGCAAAAUCCCAGAUAGAGUCGCACAAUUUUCAACUUUUGAGGAAGAUAGCUAUGAGGGGAAUCCUUUUCUUUGUGGAUGGCCACUGUCUAAAAGUUGCAAUGAUAGUGGAUUAUCAGCAGUGACACCAGAAGCUUACACUGAUAAUGAAGAAGGUGAUAGUUUAAUUGACAUGGACAGUUUCCUGAUCACUUUUACAGUAUCUUAUGGAAUUGUGAUAUUAGGAAUUAUUGGAGUUUUGUACGUAAACCCCUAUUGGCGGCGAAGAUGGUUUUACCUUGUUGAAGUGUGUAUGACCUCUUGCUACUAUUUUGUGGCAGACAAUCUUGUUCCUAGAAGAUUCUAUGGUGGAUGGAUGUAAUUUCAUUUACUUUACAACUUAUAUGUUAUUUUUAAAGAAUUUUCUUUUGCAUGCAUGGAAUAGCAACUCAAUAAAAGUAUUUGAUGCAAAUUGUCCAAGAACAACUUAGUAAUUUCAUUGCUACUAUUCGGUUGUAUAUAUACAGUUAAUGAAAUUUUUAAUCAUUCGCAGUAGGAAUUUCUUUAAAUGGCGGCCAAAACCAACAGAUUUGGGGCUCUACCUCUACACAUCAUAACAGGCAAAAGGUCUCUCUUUUACACUAUCUGAAUGAAGAUUAGCUUACGCCCCUGGAGUUCUCUAUUAAACUUGACGGUUGAGAUUUCAGGUCCAGAUGAAAGUUAAAUGCAGGCGACGAGACUACACUUUAAGUAAACUGGGACAAACUUAAAAUAAAUAAAAAUUAUAGUCCAGGGUAAGAGUAAUGGGUAGCUCAACUUAUGGAGUAUAACUAGGACUUGGAAUAACUAUCAGAUUUGCAACUCUUGUUAUAUGCUUGGGAGUUACAGUAAUCGAUUCAUUUCCUCCAUUUCUGAUGGUAACCCAGCUCUAUACAAGAACAAUCAGAGAAGGUUCAUUUAAGAAAUUUCACAACCCACGCUUUUUUUUCCUUUUUGCCCUCUUCCUCACAAUAAAAACACCUAACACACCAAGCCGUGCACAAAAUAGUCCUAUUUUAUUCAUGUCAUGAAUCCAAAAACUAUCCCAGCUCACUUUGUUUAACCAGCAUAACUAAAUUGUGGGUAUAAAUGAACACACUUUCGAAGCCUGUAACUUAUAAUAAGCUCAAACCCAAAAAUGACAUUUAAAUCCUGCAAGUGUUUUUCAUCAUCCCUAACAAAAAGAAACAAGAAUAAUUAUAUACCAAUAAUUUUUCCAUAAAAAAUACUGAUACCAAUAAUUUUUCCAUAAAAAAUACUGAUUUGAGUUGAAACACUAUACAAACUGGGUUUUAUACACUUGCAGAAAGCUACACGAUAGACAAAAUCUAGCAGCUACAUAAUGGUAUCACUUUCAGCUGGUCAUGAAUGGUGUGCAUUCAGCAGUGCUCGAUAGACCAUGUCUAUGAAUUGAUUGUCCUAUUACAUAUAAAAGCUGGUCAGCUAUACAAGGAAAAAAAUAAUAAUUGAAAAUGCAUCACAAAAAAUAAGUGUCUCGCAUUAGUGUUUGCACUCUAAGCAUGGCAAAGUGGUGCGGGUUCAUGAUUUUGAAGACUGGGAUAAGUGAAAAAUAGUUCAAUCCACUGAUGAACAUAAAUUUAUUUACAUGUCAAUUUAGAUAUCAUAAAAAAGUAAACAGUAAUUCACAGUCACUUAAAAGAGUUGAUAAAAUGCGUGCCGUGAAUGCAUUUUUGUACAUAAGAAAUCCAAAGAGUAUUUCUGACAAUACAAAUAUGCUAGCUUUAAAUCUGCUGUCAAUAUGCAAUUAAGAAGAUUAUACCAGCUGCAUGAUAAAGUUCCCCUAAUCUUAAUAACAGUAAACAUGAACAUGUCAGAUGCAAUUAUAGCUUCGAGCAUUUGCAUAACCAGAAAUCCUAACCUGAACAAGCACCAGAAGUGUCUCUCGGACUUUCUCCUUGUUGAUAAAUGGUCCGCUGUUUGAAGUAAGAGCAGGAGUAAGAGAUGGUGGAGGGGUUGGUAGUGGAAAAGGUUGAAGCAUUGGGGCACCAUAUGGGCGUUGCAGACUCAGGGGAGGAUUAAGUGGCGGAGCUGUUGGUGUAGAUGAAGAGACAAGCUGCAUCAUCUGUGCAUAGGAGGAUGGAGGAGGAACAAAGAAUAAGGAAGGCUUUACAAGAUUAGGGGUAGGUGCUGACAGAGGUGGAGAUGGUAUUUGCAAGGUUGGCACGAUAGGAGAAGCAACACUGGCGGGAUGAGAAGGUAAAGAAAUAGUUGUAUUGGACUGGUAAGGUUGUGCAGAGAUUGCUGCAUUAGAAGUAUUCCCCACAGUCAAAGCUGUCUGCAAUGAUAAGGACAGAUGUCAUAUACAAGGACAAGUGAUAACAUAUGAAAAUAGUAUGACUUGCUGCAGUUUUGUGGUAAUGUUGCAUACUUAUGCAGAAACAUAUUAUUUCAAAGAAAACAUACACUGAAGUAGUUCACAAAAGCAGGAUCUUCAGGAACAUCAGCAGCAUUUGAGGGAGUUGACUCUAGAGGACCAUCCAUAACUGCCAUAGUUGGAACAGCUUCCAGUUCCUCAAACUCACUGCAGUUUAACAUAAAAGGAACUUGAUGACCAAUUUAAGUAAUAAUUAGAUGAUAUAAGAGGUUAGGGAAAAUGAUGAGUGGACCCUUAUGGAAGGUGAUUUCACCUUAGCUAAACACGAAAAUAAAAAGAAAUCAAAGCUGAAUCCUCGAGUGCAAUGCAAAGAAUUUUUUCUCGCUCUUCUCUAACUCCUCUUAUUCGAAAUUGCUCAUCAUUGUGCUGUUCUUCGAGUUUUCGCUAGAGUAGAGAAAGCUAUUCUCUCGUUAAGUGCAGAGGAAAGAGAAGGGCAAGGGCCUGGUAUGAUGCUAUUCUAUAGGAAGUGAGAAGGUGAAGGGUUAAAAUAUUUUGUAAUUUGGAGGUGGUGUUUGUUAGUGUGUGUGUACUUCUGAAUUUAUUACCUCUUUAGGAUCCAUAGAAAUUGCCUCUUGUUCAGCAUGCACUGUGCCUACGAGUAAGACGAGCUUGCAUGGUAUCUAUUGUCUAUUUACUUGGAUAUUCAAACAUGACUACCAGCCACCAAACACAAAUCCCCAAACAAAACACUCUUUCAAGUGCAAGGAAAGAGUAACUUGGGCAUAUUUAUAGUUCAAGCACUACAAUAACUAAGAAUGUGAUGACUGUCCACAAACACUAUAUCAGUGCCUUUUGAACUACAUUACAUGCUCGAAGACUUUUUUUUUAGUCAUACAUAAAUUAGCUAUAAAAUUAAGACCGUUAUACAACUAAAAAGAAAGAAAAAUUGUUUGCUACUACAUAUCAAAACUGGUAAUAGCAAUGUAAGAUGGCAGACUUCUUACUUAAACAGAUGAGAGGCUACAAAUAAAAAAUUUGUGCAAAUAAAAUAUAUGAUAGAGAGCAUAAUACUUUCUUGGGGGCUAAAAAUAAUAUACAACUUGUGAAAUAUAAAUUGAGCUACCAUUACCUUUUAGAUGUGGCAACUUUCGACUUUUGAGGCACCUUGGAAUAUGCAUUCAGAAUCCUGCAUUUGGAAGCCAAAUAAAUAAUGUUAAUAACAAUUUUACAAUAGAAAAAUUAAAAAUUGAUAAAUGGCAGUUGUAAUUUAUGUAUGCGUAAAGAUAGCUUCACAUCCAGGGUCCUCCCAUAAACAUGCUUGUAACAAGAAUUAGUUUGUCCAACUGUUAGCAACUGCUAACAAUAUACAAUAGUAAAAAUCACUCUCAUGAACUCAACAAUACUAGGCACCAAUAAGAGUAUGAUACAGCCAUUCUAAAAUGGAAGAGAAUACAACUGUUUUACAACUAUGUUGCAUCAGGAGAUAUGUUAGGAGGAUUAAUCCAGAUACCUUCCAACCCAAUUAGGAAAACUCGAGUCAGAAACCAGGAGCCGCAACCGAACCUUACAAUCUUGAAGGAAGAAGGAGACUUGGGGCAUUUUUCCAGAUAGGUGACUUACUAGAUCUCCUGCCAAGAGAAUAUCUAUUGCUUUGAACCUCCAUUGAAAUUUCUUUUCCCUUUUUCUUGUUUUGGCUUGGAACUUUCCAGCAUCAUCUAUUUGAUCUUUUUUAAAGCUAAAAAAGCAAUCUAUGGGUUGUGAACAUCUUAUCACCACCCCCCCCCCCCCCCCGGGCCCCCAAAAAAAAAUCAAUGAGUUGUCAAUAAAUAGCGCCUACUCAAAUGUUUUCCAAUGGAUGACAAUGUGCAAAUCGACCUAGCAGCCACAUUUUUCCCCCCUUUCAACCACCAUUAGGCAACUUUUCUAACCUUUCUUCAUUGCCCACGUGUACAGAACUAUCAUAUAAAGACUACAUUAUUAUUGGGAUGGAGAAAAAUAUACAGACUAUAUUAUUAUAUCUCAUUUUAUUAAUUAACUAGUGCAAGACUUAUUUAGUGUCAAAUCAAGAACUAAUUGGAAAAGACAACUCAUGAUAAUACAGACCUUAAAAAGCAAUAGCUAGCAACACCUCAUAUACUCCUAUUUUAGCCUUUAAUAUCCUGGUAAAAACACAAUUAAGUCUUGCAAAAGAACAUUCACAAGUAAAUUCAACAUUAAUUAAGAUUAAGUAUCUACUGCACCUUCAAUCAAUGACUGGGUGAAUAGCAUGGUCAACCAUCUAGUUCCUGUAGCCCUCCUUGUACCUAUGUUGGUUACAUUUUACAUAUUCAGCCACGAAAAUGAAGGAUCACAGCCUGGUAAAGAAAGCCAUUAAUUAAUAGUGUUUGUUUAAAAAGUUCUCGUUUAGAUCUUUCCUAUUCAAUGAAUCAAUGUAAUCCAUGGAGAACUCUUCCAUUUCAAGCAGUGUUAGAAGAUAAUUGGAAAGCCUAAAGAUAGUAUACAAGGACCAAGAUAUCGAUUAGGUCAAAUAGUGAAUGUCAAAUAUAAAAAAUAAAUAAAAGAAGUUGUACAUGAUCAUUUACUAUCAAGUUCUGUAAAAUUGAAAAUACCAUUAUCACUGUAGAGAUUCUCAAACAACUCUUUAGCAAAUUAUAAAAUAGUUAAAAAAAGAACAAAAGUUUUUUUUUAAAAAAAGAAGAACAUCCAUAUCAGGAGAUGUUUUUCUUCUCAAUCUCAAUAUUUUCUAGCCGUGAAGCAAUUGAAAAGCUUAACACUAAGUGAAUUAUUAAGAAUUCAUCAUUUAAAUUCCCAAAUCGCAAAAUGUUGGUGCAACUAGGAAAGUGCAAAUGCAAUCACUUAACUAACACAAGAAACACCAAUAGUGAGAGCCCACUUUGUAUCAAAUUUGAAACAGAUAGAGGUCAAAAAAAUUAUACACUCAAUUAAAAGCCUUUCAAACAGCUUUUGCAUGGAACAAGAACAAAUCAAAGGCAAUGUGAAUGUAUUCAAAGACUAAUUUACAAUGAUCUACAGGACAUAAAUAUCUUGGAUACCUACUCUCUAUACCUUACUGUCCCACUAGAAAUCAUCAAAUCCCUCCAAACAAAAAUGACAAAAUGGAUAAGAAUUGUGUCGUUAAACUUCAAUAACUUAGCAGCCACAGCAAAAACUUAUGUAGGCACGCAAGCCACUCAAAAUAGUCAUAUUUUUUGCUUUCCAAACAAAAGCCACUUUGUAAUGAAUAUUCAUAAAUUGCUACUAUCAUGUUUGUUAAAACACGUGAAAACCACCAUAACUAACUAAAUGUAACUGAUGAUCAUCAUCAAGUUCAUGGAAUCACAUAUCUGACAGUAUUAAUUAGUGCAAAUGGCAUGCUUCUUAAAACUCCGUAUUUAUCACAUGGGCGCCAUUCCAAUCAACCAAUGAUUCUGAUCUAGUCGGCAUAUUCAACCCACGAGCGAGUAAUACCUCCUAUUGCUUCUUUACAUUUCUCAACGAAAUUCCACAUUCUAACCAUACUUCUGAACAUGUUGCUCCCAUAGACUAAUACAAUAUAAAGAUUUCUUCCCACACCACCUCAGCCCACACUCCUGAAAAACCAAUUUAAAUUCUCAUUGGCUGUACAACCUAUAGUCCAUACCAAAUUGAAAAAUUUACAAAUAUAGAACCUCAAAGAAUCUUCUUGUGUUCCAUUUUUUACGGCAAGAAAUUUGACUUUUACCACAUGCAAGUCAACAAAUAAAAAAAUCAUGUCUUUGUGAGAUGCACAUUUUCAGAUGAAUCUAAAGAGCAAUGAAACCGUAAAAACCGAAUAUCAGAACACCGAGGACUCCAGAUAUCACCUAUAGAAUCUUUGGUCCACACUUGCACGAUGAAAAUGAUGAAAAACAAUUGAAGGCUUCAUCACCAGCUCCCCAGGUUGUUUUGUUCUCCUAUCUCCUAAAUAUAAAGGAAACGCAACCCGUUCUUUUUUCCAAUCUUAAGGGGCACAAAACGACUCUGGUAUAAAAUAGUCAGUUUCUAUACAAAAAUAACUCCUUUGCACUUGGCAUUGCACAUCUCGAAAUAAAAAGCAUGCUAGAAAGAGAAUAUAAUAGCAUUAAACAAGUUUUAUUAACCAAACUUCAUGCCACACAAGGCAAAAAAGGAAUCUGUACAUGCCAGAUUCCAAGAAUAAUAAUUCCAAUAUACAAUUCAGGAAAACAAUAACUAAAACUAGGUUCACGAGGCCUCGGCAGAAGCAACAUGUAAUAACCAUACUCUAUUAUUUGAAACACAUUUCUAAGUUUGGUUAAGAUUCUAAACUAUUCUCUGUGUCAAUUAUUAACAUGUAAAACAUAAUAAUAUACACUUAAACUACUACACAAACUACUACAGUAGUAAAACCAGUAAAACAACAAUACCUGUUGAAAAGAUUUGCUACCUCUUCACAUUCACGAGCAUUGUAGAACCAAAUCCCAUUUACUUCUUGGGAUGCAUUUCGAUAUAACAAAUACAGAACCUGAACUUCAAACUCAAAAUCUCCCAAAAGAUUUUCCACUAAAUUAUCUGCACAUAUACAAGAUAUUGAAGCUUAUCAGUGCAAAAACAUAUACAAAAAGACAUGAAGGUUAGAAGACAUAACUAAAACUUAGCAACAACUGAUAAGCACAACAAGACAUGAAAUAUAACACUAGUUGUAAACAAGAUAGACACAUGGUAUCUAAAAAAUUGUACCAACCCCCUCUCCUGAUUGUCAUAAAACGGCCAAUAUUUAACCCUAGACAACAAAAUUGCAAAUACUCUAGCCUCUAUAUUAUUGGCAUAUAAAUAUUUUAGGUUAGGUACGUUAUAUUCUUCGUUCUAAAACCUCAAUUAUUAGCUAGUACUGUGAUAAAAUGAUUCAUCACUGAAAUUAAAACUAGUUCACGUACAAAUAAUCAAAACUGAAAUAGAAACAACGACAAACCAACCUGUAUUACGUCGAUUCAUUACAACAAACUGAAAUCGAGGCUGUGUGUUCCUGAAAAUUGAAAAAAUAAUAAUUUCACCAACUUCAUAUGUAAUACAAUCUCCAAAACACCGAAUAUCAAAUGAAAAAAUGGAAAGCAUAAGAGAGAAAAGAAUCUAAUUUUAUUGACCUUUUGACGACGAAGAGAGAGCCUUCAACAUCCUUACGACACCAUUGGCUGAGGUCGAUGUUGAACUCGUAGAAGGUGACAUGAGCGGCCGUGAUGAGGAUCUCCUCAAUGAAUGGAUCGAUUCGCUGAAGAACUGUCAGGUUUAGGAGUUUUGUGCUCUGCUGGUCCAGAUUAGGCAUCAAUUUUCCGUUCUGCGACAUUUUUCAUAGCCGUUUUGGGCUCUGCCCUGAGCACAAGCCCCAUGGUUUUUCUGUGAGCUCUUUCUCUUUUGUAAAUAAAGUGUUUGAUGAGAUAGCCCAGAGAGAGUGAGAGUUGAACAGCCAAACAAGAUGAGGUGAACAGUUUCGGAUUGAGACUCGAGAUUGGUCAAGCUUUAACUUCUUUCAAACAUUUGGGAAAUAGCAUUUAUUUCUUUCAAUUUCUC
rnacentral:lncRNA from 1 species